GCCGGGAUAGCUCAGUUGGUAGAGCAGG
rnacentral:tRNA from 1 species